rnacentral:rRNA from 1 species
CCUACGGGGGGCUGCAGUGAGGAAUAUUGGUCAAUGGACGGAAGUCUGAACCAGCCAUGCCGCGUGCAGGAAGACGGCCCUCUGAGCUUUAAACUGUUUUUGUACAAGGGUAAACCUGAAUACGUGUAUUCCGCUGAAUGUACUGUACGAAUAAGGAUCGGCCAACCUCGUUCCAGCAGCCGCGGUAAUACGGAGGAUCCAAGCGUUACCUGGAUUUGUUGGGUUUAAAGGGUGCGUAGGCGGAAUGAUAAGUGAGAGGUGAAAUGUCCGAGCUUAACUCGGGAACUGCCUCUAAUACUGGUGAUCUAGAGAGUAGGUGAGGUAGGCGGAAUGUAUGGUGUAGCAGUGAAAUGCUUAGAGAUCAGACGGAACACCGGUUGCGAAGGCAGCUAACCAAUCUAUAUCUGACGUUGAGGCGCGAAAGCGUGGGGAGCAAACAGGAUUAGAUACCCCAGUAGUC